rnacentral:rRNA from 1 species
UACGGAGGAUCCAAGCGUUAUCCGGAUUCAUUGGGUUAAAGGGUGCGUAGGUGGAAUGAUAAGUCAGUGGUGAAAUCCUGCAGCUCAACUGUAGAACUGCCAUUGAUACUGUCAAUCUUGAGUACAUUUGAUGUGGGCGGAAUGUGUCAUGUAGCGGUGAAAUGCUUAGAUAUGACACAGAACACCGAUUGCGAAGGCAGCUCACAAAACUGUAACUGACACUGAGGCACGAAAGCGUGGGUAUCAAACAGG